rnacentral:tRNA from 2 species
UCUAAUAUGACAGAUUUAUGUGAUAAACUUAAAAUUUAUUUAUAAAGGUUUAUCCUUUUUUUAGAA